CAAUGCCCUGCCCACUGUUUUGCUAGGCCUGGCUACCAUCAGGCCUACCUGUCCAUGCACCAUGUCAAGGUAAUGGCUAACUCUGUUUCCUGCAGGAAAAACUUAGUGGUAGAGAUGCUAAUGUUCAUGUAGCAUUUAAGCUAGCAGGCCAGCUGGUCACCAAAAGUUCCAGUCAUGUUGCUUCAGGACUUUCUUUGAGGAGGAGACUUGUACUGGCUCUUCAUCAUACCGGAGUUUUGUGUCCUGGUGUUGGAACUUUGGUUCCCAAAAAGGUUAUUCUACCAGAGAUUUGAGAGAUUACUGCUUCAACUCAACAAAAACACCAGUGCAGGACCCGCUCUGGUGGAGCAGUUCCUGCACUGGACACAUGGUGGCACUACGUACUUAUUGGAGACCUGCAGCUUGGGUUCCCUCCAUCCUGCCUUGAUCAUGGAGUCCCACCAAGCAGAGCAAGGGUGAGCUGUGAGAGCCGGCAAGACGUGAGGAGGAGGAGAAGAAAUGGACGGAGAGAGAGAGAGAGAGAGAGAUCAUCUUGGCAUGACCCCAGAGUCUCCUCUGCAGUGUUUGAGCCCAGCGUCUCUUCAGAUUGCAGCUUUGGGCUCAGGGACGAAAAAACCAACUGUGGUGCAGAAAGUUUUUACUGCAACAGCGGCGCCACUGAACCCUUCAAACAGAUUGAGAAUAAGCGGAACCGUCAUUUGAUUUGCAGAAGGCGGCCAUAUUCGACUUCAUCUGAAACAAUAUGGCUGUGGCUUCACUUCCUCAAUGUUUGGGUCCUCACACACAGACCCUGCUAAAUGAACCUUUUUUGUGGUGACCCCCUUCUCCUUGCUCUGCCCAAACUGCCUGUGUGCAUUUGAUGAAGGUGACGAAAUACAGAAAUAAACGUAAAGCCUUUUAUUUAUUACUGAGAAAUGAAAUAUGUGCUAUUGCAUGAGCAAAUAUCUAUUUCACAUUUAGCCAAAAAGCCAUUCACAUAUAAGGAAAUGUGCGAUAUGACCUGUUUUGACCUCUUAUGAACAAACGUAGAAAUGUGCGACAAGAGGGAUCCAAAUAGACUUUUAUAUUUUUUUCUGUUCAGACUUUGGGACUUGGGAGGAUGGUGCUGCGUUAAAAAA